UACGAAGGGAGCUAGCGUUGUUCGGAAUCACUGGGCGUAAAGCGCACGUAGGCGGAUGUGUCAGUCAGGGGUGAAAUCCCGGAGCUCAACUUCGGAACUGCCCUUGAUACAGCACAUCUGGAGUCCGGAAGAGGUGGGUGGAAUUCCUAGGUGUAAGUAGGUGAAAUUCGUAGAUAUUAGGAAGAACACCGGUGGCGAAGGCGGCCCACUGGUCCGGUACUGACGCUGGAGGUGACGAAAGCGUGGGGAGCAAACAGG
rnacentral:rRNA from 1 species